GUUUGAUCCUGGCUCAGGACGAACGCUGGCGGCGUGCCUAAUACAUGCAAGUCGAACGAACUCUGGUAUUGAUUGGUGCUUGCAUCAUGAUUUACAUUUGAGUGAGUGGCGAACUGGUGAGUAACACGUGGGAAACCUGCCCAGAAGCGGGGGAUAACACCUGGAAACAGAUGCUAAUACCGCAUAACAACUUGGACCGCAUGGUCCGAGCUUGAAAGAUGGCUUCGGCUAUCACUUUUGGAUGGUCCCGCGGCGUAUUAGCUAGAUGGUGGGGUAACGGCUCACCAUGGCAAUGAUACGUAGCCGACCUGAGAGGGUAAUCGGCCACAUUGGGACUGAGACACGGCCCAAACUCCUACGGGAGGCAGCAGUAGGGAAUCUUCCACAAUGGACGAAAGUCUGAUGGAGCAACGCCGCGUGAGUGAAGAAGGGUUUCGGCUCGUAAAACUCUGUUGUUAAAGAAGAACAUAUCUGAGAGUAACUGUUCAGGUAUUGACGGUAUUUAACCAGAAAGCCACGGCUAACUACGUGCCAGCAGCCGCGGUAAUACGUAGGUGGCAAGCGUUGUCCGGAUUUAUUGGGCGUAAAGCGAGCGCAGGCGGUUUUUUAAGUCUGAUGUGAAAGCCUUCGGCUCAACCGAAGAAGUGCAUCGGAAACUGGGGAACUUGAGUGCAGAAGAGGACAGUGGAACUCCAUGUGUAGCGGUGAAAUGCGUAGAUAUAUGGAAGAACACCAGUGGCGAAGGCGGCUGUCUGGUCUGUAACUGACGCUGAGGCUCGAAAGUAUGGGUAGCAAACAGGAUUAGAUACCCUGGUAGUCCAUACCGUAAACGAUGAAUGCUAAGUGUUGGAGGGUUUCCGCCCUUCAGUGCUGCAGCUAACGCAUUAAGCAUUCCGCCUGGGGAGUACGGCCGCAAGGCUGAAACUCAAAGGAAUUGACGGGGGCCCGCACAAGCGGUGGAGCAUGUGGUUUAAUUCGAAGCUACGCGAAGAACCUUACCAGGUCUUGACAUACUAUGCAAAUCUAAGAGAUUAGACGUUCCCUUCGGGGACAUGGAUACAGGUGGUGCAUGGUUGUCGUCAGCUCGUGUCGUGAGAUGUUGGGUUAAGUCCCGCAACGAGCGCAACCCUUAUUAUCAGUUGCCAGCAUUAAGUUGGGCACUCUGGUGAGACUGCCGGUGACAAACCGGAGGAAGGUGGGGAUGACGUCAAAUCAUCAUGCCCCUUAUGACCUGGGCUACACACGUGCUACAAUGGAUGGUACAACGAGUUGCGAACUCGCGAGAGUAAGCUAAUCUCUUAAAGCCAUUCUCAGUUCGGAUUGUAGGCUGCAACUCGCCUACAUGAAGUCGGAAUCGCUAGUAAUCGCGGAUCAGCAUGCCGCGGUGAAUACGUUCCCGGGCCUUGUACACACCGCCCGUCACACCAUGAGAGUUUGUAACACCCAAAGUCGGUGGGGUAACCUUUUAGGAACCAGCCGCCUAAGGUGGGACAGAUGAUUAGGGUGAAGUCGUAACAAGGUAACCAAUC
rnacentral:rRNA from 1 species